rnacentral:misc_RNA from 1 species
AUUGCGGUGAAGAGAGCCGAAAUUGCGGUGAAGAGCGGUUGAAAUUUCUUAUUUUUUUGCCUGUUUUAAAGACACGGCUUCUGCGCGUGCGCCAGCCUGGGGACUCCACCCGAAGUUGAUAAUCCCCCGGAUUGUUCAGUCUAAAAACCAUGACCAGCCGACAAUUUAAGAAAGAAAUUCUCAAUCUUUCAAGAGCACUGAGUCAUGUCGUCGAGUAGAAAAGAAUAUUAUGCUAGUAGAGAUGCCUCUAAAGUGUAUUUGUUGGGUUCUUUCCCUCGAUGGAGAGCGUUUAAGGAGCAGCAUAAAUUGAGAACAGACAAGGAUGUGGCGGAUAUGCUUCUUGACAGCUAUCUUGCGAUGAAUCGUAUAGUUUGCAAUGCAGACACGCAAACCGAAACAGUAAUGGAAUCAACGGAUAUGCCGCCAAGUACACCUUCCAAAUAUUUUUCUUCUCCCAUUAAAACCUCAACGCCAAGCGCGCACUCAAUCCGCGUCCAUUGUCUGCUUUGUCGGAUGUUAGAACAUCAUAUUCUAUCAGUCGGGUCAGAGUGUGAUUUCUGACAGUCGAACAUUGACAGCCAAAGAUGAUAGUUCUGAUGAUGAAAGUGAUGAUGAUAAUGACAAUUUUGGUGAACACACUAUCCAGGCAGACCAGGUUUUGUCGGACGAUUCUCUUGAUGUAUGUCCCCCGGGUUUUGACGUGCCAUUACUGAAUGACUUGCUCAAUGUGACAAUCCGUGGACAUGAUGGAGAUGAGCCCACAGAAGAUGUUGGAACCCAACAACAACAACAGCAGCAACAUAAGACGACUCAACCAGAAUACAUCUCUACUGUGGAAGAAGUCACUCCUGAAGAUGCAAUCAAGAAGGAAAAGUGUAUUGUGUUUACAGACACUCUUAUAGCUUUGAUAACAUCAUUACAUGGGAGUGUUUGUAAACUACAAGGAUGUGGCUGUGUGUUGAGCUAUAAGAAAACAUAUGUUGGAACAUGCCUGGUCGUAUC